GGGGUCGACCACAGCAUCAUUGUCAAAGUCAUCCUCGCACACAUCACCAACGCCAUUGCCUGGGCAGAGUGAGGCUGGGUACUCAGGAAGACCCUGGCCACUGCCAUUAGGCAAUAAUACCACCUGUUGGGCCUUGCAUUCCUGACUUCUUUCCCCACCUUGCCGUUGCUCACUUCCCAACGGGGCUUGCUGCCUCCAGCUGGGCAAAGGCAACACCAGUCUAACGCGCCCUGGGUCCCCAGGCUUACCAUCUGAGUCCUUCUGAUUGGGAUUGGGUACCAGGCGGCAGUUAUCAGGACCAGGAGGCACGUAAUCUGGGAUGCCAUCAUUGUCAUCAUCCCCAUCACACUCAUCUCCAAGUCCAUCGUUGUCUGAGUCCAGCUGGGAGCUAUUUGGCAGCUGUGGGCAGUUGUCCUUGGUGUCCUGAUGCCCAUCCCCAUCACUAAUCAGAAGAACAGGUUGGCGAAAGUCCCGAACUUUGUCUCCCCACCUAGAGGACAACUGGUCAGGAAAUCUGCCUGUUUCUUGUCUCACCCUCUAGUCCACACUCUGCCCAACGCUACGCCCUACCUCACAUUCCCAUUGACAUCUGCUGCAGGUAAUCUCUCCUCACCCAGGCCAGCGUCCACAAGCCUGCCUCCCCAGUUCACAGAGACUUCCUAGCUUCCUUUCGUCAUCCCUACCUGAUCCAAAUUCUUACAGGUCCCCCAGCCACCCCUUCAGCCCCAGGCCUGCACCAUCCCCAUCCACGUCGUUGUCACAGGCAUCUCCUUCCCCAUUGCCAUCUGUGUCCUUCUGGUCAUUGUUGGGAACGUUGGGGCAAUUGUCACAGGCAUCACCAAAUGAAUCUGUA